AUUCGUUUGUGCUUUAGGUACCUCAUUUUCAUUCUUCACAGUAAGCAGCAACAGUUUCUAACUAUAUUCUUAUUAAUGCAACAGGUAGAAUUAAUCUAGGCCAACUUUAUACAAUAAGGUACCUUUCAGGUGUCUUGCUUCUGAAACCAUCAUUCUGUAAUUCUGUACAUCAAUGGCAACAAUGGAGUGCGUUAGACUAUCUUAACAGUGGGGUUUUCUGUCUCUACUCUCUAGUGAUUCCCACCAUCUUGUAUAUCCAACUGUCUUACCUCACAAGGUAGGACAAUUUUGAGGUCUUAAACAAACAAGAAGGAAGACUUAUUGUCUUGACUCUUGAAUGAAUUAUGGUAAUCGCUAGGAACUGAAAUCUAGGCUUUCUAUUAAUACAAAUGAUGAUUGAUAAUUAUCUGAU